rnacentral:rRNA from 1 species
GACGAACGCUGGCGGCGUGCCUAAUACAUGCAAGUCGAGCGAAUCAAAGGGAGCUUGCUCCCUUUGGUUAGCGGCGGACGGGUGAGUAACACGUGGGCAACCUGCCUGUAAGACUGGGAUAACUUCGGGAAACCGGAGCUAAUACCGGAUAAUUUCUUUCCUCCCAUGAGGAAAGGCUGAAAGACGGUUUACGCUGUCACUUACAGAUGGGCCCGCGGCGCAUUAGCUAGUUGGUGAGGUAACGGCUCACCAAGGCAACGAUGCGUAGCCGACCUGAGAGGGUGAUCGGCCACACUGGGACUGAGACACGGCCCAGACUCCUACGGGAGGCAGCAGUAGGGAAUCUUCCGCAAUGGACGAAAGUCUGACGGAGCAACGCCGCGUGAGUGAUGAAGGUUUUCGGAUCGUAAAACUCUGUUGUUAGGGAAGAACAAGUAUGAGAGUAACUGCUCGUACCUUGACGGUACCUAACCAGAAAGCCACGGCUAACUUCGUGCCAGCCGCCGCAGUAAUAC